GAUGAACGCUGGCGGCGUGCCUAAUACAUGCAAGUCGAGCGAACGGACGAGAAGCUUGCUUUUCUGAUGUUAGCGGCGGACGGGUGAGUAACACGUGGAUAACCUACCUAUAAGACUGGGAUAACUUCGGGAAACCGGAGCUAAUACCGGAUAAUAUUUUGAACCGCAUGGUUCAUAAGUGAAAGACGGUCUUGCUGUCACUUAUAGAUGGAUCCGCGCUGCAUUAGCUAGUUGGUAAGGUAACGGCUUACCAAGGCAACGAUGCAUAGCCGACCUGAGAGGGUGAUCGGCCACACUGGAACUGAGACACGGUCCAGACUCCUACGGGAGGCAGCAGUAGGGAAUCUUCCGCAAUGGGCGAAAGCCUGACGGAGCAACGCCGCGUGAGUGAUGAAGGUCCUCGGAUCGUAAAACUCUGUUAUUAGGGAAGAACAUAUGUGUAAGUAACUGUGCACAUCUUGACGGUACCUAAUCAGAAAGCCACGGCUAACUACGUG
rnacentral:rRNA from 1 species